ACGGGAGGCAGCAGUGGGGAAUUUUGGACAAUGGGCGAAAGCCUGAUCCAGCCAUGCCGCGUGCAGGAUGAAGGCCUUCGGGUUGUAAACUGCUUUUGUACGGAACGAAAAGCCUCUUUCUAAUAAAGAGGGGUCAUGACGGUACCGUAAGAAUAAGCACCGGCUAACUACGUGCCAGCAGCCGCGGUAAUACG
rnacentral:rRNA from 1 species